rnacentral:rRNA from 1 species
GACGAACGCUGGCGGCGUGCUUAACACAUGCAAGUCGAACGGAAAGACCCUGCUUUUGUGGGGUGCUCGAGUGGCGAACGGGUGAGUAACACGUGAGUAACCUGCCCUUGACUUUGGGAUAACUUCAGGAAACUGGGGCUAAUACCGGAUAGGAGCUCCUGCUGCAUGGUGGGGGUUGGAAAGUUUCGGCGGUUGGGGAUGGACUCGCGGCUUAUCAGCUUGUUGGUGGGGUAGUGGCUUACCAAGGCUUUGACGGGUAGCCGGCCUGAGAGGGUGACCGGCCACAUUGGGACUGAGAUACGGCCCAGACUCCUACGGGAGGCAGCAGUGGGGAAUAUUGCACAAUGGGCGGAAGCCUGAUACAGCAACGCCGCGUGCGGGAUGACGGCCUUCGGGUUGUAAACCGCUUUCGCCUGUGACGAGGCGUGAGUGACGGUAAUGGGUAAAGAAGCACCGGCUAACUACGUG